rnacentral:lncRNA from 1 species
CUCUUUCCCUAUUUCAGAGCUCACCACUGUAUUCUAAACAGAAGCCAAUAGAGGGAGAAAAACAAAGCCAAGUGCAAAAGCUGUGGGCACUGAAAGUUUUGCUCCACCGGCCGCGCAGCACCCACUUGGGGUCGGGCUUUGGGACUUGGGGGAGUCAGGAGCAGGCGGGGGCUGGGGAGAGGACGAGGCCCUGGGGAGGGGCUGGAAAAGGCUUUUCACAGCGACUGGCACUUGAUAUUUCCAAGUCUUCUGGAUGUCACUCACCGGAAACCAGACCCUGCGGUGCGAAGACUCAGGUGGCAAAGGCAAAAGCUGGACUGCAUUGUGUGGCCCCAGGGAGCUGCAGACAGAGGAACUGAGUCCUGGCCACUGUGCCUGCUGUCUCUUACAAGUUUAGAGAUGCUGGCAUUGCAUCGAAAUCGGACAACACUCCCUUCCCUCCCUUCCCAGAGUCAUGAUUCUUCCUUCUCAAGUCAAAGAGGAAUUACAAGCAAAUAGACACUAUCCUUGAAUGCAGUUUGGGUUACACAGAAUGGGGAAUGAACUCAAUCUCAUUUUUGCUUCUUUGUUGAAAUAAGCUCAGUAUCUCCCUUGCACAGAGAUUGAAUCGGCUUCACUAAGGCAAGCAGCAUUUCCUCUUUUCUCCCAGUCAGCAUCGCAGCUCUCUGCAUUCCCCUCUCGCAGAGGUGACUAUUCAUUGUGUUCUUUCCAGGAAUGUUUUCUGAGCUUCAGGAGGCCCUGAGUUACCUGGAUAAUUAGUGCUGUCCUUUUGCACAAUGCAAAAACAAAACUAUUAUGAGAUAAUUUCUUUAGCUAAGUUGGGAAUGGGGUUUAAAUGCGUGGGCAAAUAGAUCUGGCAGUCAAAUUCAGACUGUCAUAUUUUGUGAUCCACCCUCCCACCGAUCAUAGCAUAUAAGACUCUGAUGAACUUCACCAGCAACAGGGAAUUCUCCCUCCACUGCAGAUAAAACAAUGACAAUAUGGAAGUGAAAAAUGAAUAAUUCAAAAAUGGAAUUCUCUGUGGGGCUCCGUGCAGUGUGUGUUUCUGUGUGUGCAUGUGUUUUAUACAAGUCUCUGUUACUUUUGUAGUUUGGAUUGGACUUCCGUCGGUCCAUUAAUUUUGUUACUGGAUCCCACCACUUACCCAAAAUUAGCCUUUGGGUUGGGUGUUUCUGCAGUAUAGUCCCUUCUGUGGACACCAGAAAGAUAUUACAGGAAAGGGGUCCUGAUCAAGACCCCCAGAGACGGUUCUUGGACCUGGUUGGGAGGCCGAGGAUCACUUGAGGUCAGGAGUUCGAGACCAGCCUGACCAACAUGGUGAAACCCCAUCUCUACUAAAAAUACAAAAAUUAGCCAGGUGGGCCAGGCACGGUGGCUCACGCCUGUAAUCACGCCUGUCAUCACAGCACUUUGGGAGGCCGAGACAGGUGGAUCACCUGAGUUCAGGAGUUCAAGACCAGGCUGGCCAACAUGGUGAAACCCUGUCUAUACUAAAAAAACAAACAAACAAACAAAAAAAAAAACAAAAAUUAGCUAGUCAUGGUGGCCUGCACCUGUAAUCCCAGCUACUCAGGAGGCUGAGGCAGCAGAAUCCCUUGAACCCAGGAGGCAGAGGUUGCAGUAAGCCAAGCUCUAGCCUGGGCGACAGAGCUAGACUCCAUAAAAAAAAAAAAAAAAAAAAAAAAAAAAAAAAAAAAAGAAGAAGAAGAAGAAGAAAGAAAGAAUUAAUUCAUUAAUUCAGGAUGAGCCCGUAAAGUGAAAGCAAAUUUAUUAAGAAAGUAAAGGAAUAAAGAACGGCUGCUCCAUAGACAGAGCAGCCCCAAGGGCAGCUGGUUGCCCAUUUUUAUGGUUAUUUCUGGAAGAUAUGCUAAACAAGGGGUGGACUAUUCAAGCCUCUCGUUUUUAGAUCGUAUAGGGGAACUUCCUGACGUUACCAUGGCAUUUGUAAACACUCAUGAUGCUGGUGGGAGAGUGUAGCAGUGAGAAUGACCAGAGGUCACUCUUGUUGCCAUCUUGGUUUUGGUGGGAUUUGCCUGGCUUCUUUACUGCAACAUAUUUUAUCAGCAAGGUCUUUAUGUCCUGUAUCUUGUGCUGACCUCCUGCCUCAUCCUGUGACUUAGAAUGCCUAACCAUCUGGGAAUGCAGCCCAGUAGGUCUCAGCCGCAUUUUACCCAGUUCCUCUUCAAGAUGGAGGUGCUCUGGUUCAAAUGCCUCUGACAAUUUCACGGAUGGAUUCCAGGGACCUGUGAGCAGUCUCUGGAAGUCUUUGGCUAGGUGUGGUGGCUGACCAGGAACUGUGGCCCACCUUGUAGUUCCCACACAUGGGGAAGCAGACAGGUAGAGUGUAACCCACCAACCACUGCACACGCAGGAAACAGAUCCCAUGUCAGGACGCUUUGUAAGUGCUGCAUGCUUCCAGACCAGUGGAGAGAACCCAUCAGCACGUAUCUGUAGCCUUUACUUUUGCAAGAACAUAUCGCCGCAUUGUUUGGUAAUUUAACAUUUUUGACAAAAACAACUUGAAAGAGAUGAUGUUAAAAAAUGCUGGCAGGGAGCACACAGGAUUUUUAGGGUAGUGAAACCUCUCUGUAUGAUCCUACAAUGUCAUUAGACAUUUGUCCAAACCCAGAGAAAACACACCACAACCAAGAGUGAACCCUAAUGUAAACUCUGGACUCUGGGUGAUGAUGAUGUACAGUGUAAGGUUCAUCAAUUUUUUCUGUAAACCAAAAAUAAAAUUCUAAGUCCUCCAGCCAUCUAAAUGGACCCCUCCUCUUGGCCAAGAGCAUUCCAAAGCUAACCUGAAAAAACUAGUUCAGGCCAUGUUGGAAAGAGAAAGCCAGACAUGCCUCAUUAUCCCCUCCUCCCUUUUGGAAUUGCUGAUAAAACAGACUCUUUAAGUCUGACAAGAAACAUUUACAAUCUAUUCUCUCUAAAGCCUGAUAUCUACAGGCUUCAUUUGCAGGAUAAAACAUUGAUCUGGGCCAGGUGCAGUGGCUCAGGCCUGUAAUCCCAGCACUUUGGAAGGCCGAGGCGGGCGGAUCACAAAGUCAAGAGAUCGAGACCAUCCUGGCCAUCAUGGUGAAACCCUGUCUCUACUAAAAAUACAAAAAUUAACUGGGCGUGCUGUCACGCACCUGUCAUCCCAGCAACUUGGGAGGCUGAGGCAGGAGAAUCGCUUGAACCCAGGAGGUGGAGGUUGCAGUGAGCUGAGAUCGUGCCAUUGCACUCCAGCCUGGCAACACAGCGAGACUCCAUCUCAAAAAACAAAACAAAACAAAACAAAACCUUGGUCUCCACAACCCUUUAUCAUAACCCAGACAUUCCUUUCUACGGAUAAUAACUCUUUCAACCAAUUGCCAAUCAGAAAAAUUUUAAAUCUACCUAUGACCUGGACGCCCCUGUUUCCAAGUUGUCUCACCUUCGCAUCCUGAACCAUUGCAUAUCUUGCCUGUAUUGACUGAUGUCUCAUGUCUGCCUAUGAUGUAUAAACCAAUUGUACCCUGACCAGGUUGAGCACAUGUCAUCAGGACCUCCUGAGGCUGGGUCAUGGGUAUGUCCUUAACCUGGGCAAAAUAAA